rnacentral:rRNA from 1 species
GACGAACGCUGGCGGCGUGCUUAACACAUGCAAGUCGAACGGAAAGGCCCUGCUUUUGUGGGGUGCUCGAGUGGCGAACGGGUGAGUAACACGUGAGUAACCUGCCCUUGACUUUGGGAUAACUUCAGGAAACUGGGGCUAAUACCGGAUAGGAGCUCCUGCUGCAUGGUGGGGGUUGGAAAGUUUCGGCGGUUGGGGAUGGACUCGCGGCUUAUCAGCUUUUUGGUGGGGUAGUGGCUUACCAAGGCUUUGACGGGUAGCCGGCCUGAGAGGGUGACCGGCCACAUUGGGACUGAGAUACGGCCCAGACUCCUACGGGAGGCAGCAGUGGGGAAUAUUGCACAAUGGGCGGAAGCCUGAUGCAGCAACGCCGCGUGCGGGAUGACGGCCUUCGGGUUGUAAACCGCUUUCGCCUGUGACGAGGCGUGAGUGACGGUAAUGGGUAAAGAAGCACCGGCUAACUACGUG